rnacentral:rRNA from 1 species
GAUGAACGCUGGCGGCGUGCCUAAUACAUGCAAGUCGAGCGAACAGACGAGGAGCUUGCUCCUCUGACGUUAGCGGCGGACGGGUGAGUAACACGUGGAUAACCUACCUAUAAGACUGGGAUAACUUCGGGAAACCGGAGCUAAUACCGGAUAAUAUAUUGAACCGCAUGGUUCAAUAGUGAAAGACGGUUUUGCUGUCCCUUAUAGAUGGAUCCGCGCCGCAUUAGCUAGUUGGUAAGGUAACGGCUUACCAAGGCAACGAUGCGUAGCCGACCUGAGAGGGUGAUCGACCACACUGGAACUGAGACACGGUCCAGACUCCUACGGGAGGCAGCAGUAGGGAAUCUUCCGCAAUGGGCGAAAGCUUGACGGAGCAACGCCGCGUGAGUGAUGAAGGUCUUCGGAUCGUAAAACUCUGUUAUUAGGGAAGAACAAAUGUGUAAGUAACUAUGCACGUCUUGACGGUACCUAAUCAGAAAGCCACGGCUAACUACGUG